rnacentral:ncRNA from 2 species
AAAGAUUUAUCUAUCCGAAUUUUUUAUCCUAAAGUCAAUCCAUGGAUUCAAAAUCGUCAGAGUGCAGCGGGAAACGGCUGUGCUUUCCAUUGUGAGAAGGAUAGAUGAUAAACGUGCG